rnacentral:lncRNA from 1 species
CUUACAUCCAAGGGACUCUCUAGAGUCUUCUCCAGCACCAUAAUUCAAAUGCAUCAAUUCUUCAGCACUGAGCCUUCUUUAUGGUCCAGCUCUCACAUUUGUAUAUGACUACUUAUCUAUCCUCAAACAAAACCAUAGUACCCAUGCUGUUCAAAAAACCUCUUUUGUCAAUAAACAAUGGACCUUAAUAUCUUCCUGGUCUCUUCAAGCACAUCUGUCUUAUCCAUUUCAGCGUCUGCCUGGGAUUUUCAAUAUGGUGGUAGAAGGAUAUAUUCUCGAUAAUACUGGAAAAUGUUCUUGAUGAAAGAACAGUGCACAGUGACUUUGACAUCGCUUUCCAAUGCAAAGCUGAACAGAGGGUUGGUGCUCUGGGCCAGCGGGGUCCCAGGACCAAGUCACUGGGUGUGCCUGCUCCUUCCACUGUUAAACUCUUCCAGGCAUUGCACAAAUAAAAGAGUUCACAGAACAGGUUCCUGUACUGAGAAUGUUUGGAAAAUUUUAUGGACUUUUUGGGAAGGCAUUUUAGCAUGCUUUUCUU